rnacentral:tRNA from 1 species
GCCCGGGUAGCUCAGUGGUUAGAGCGUGGUACUUAUAAGUUAAGUUUAUGAUAAAUUGGCUAGGUUAUGCCAAGGCCGCGGGUUCGAGUCCCGCUUCGGGUA